rnacentral:tRNA from 1 species
UUAAUUGAAACCAAAUUAGAGGUAUAUUACUGUUAAUAAUAUUAUUGAAAGUCCAUUUCCAAUUAAA